rnacentral:rRNA from 1 species
UACGUAGGGCGCAAGCGUUAUCCGGAAUUAUUGGGCGUAAAGAGCUCGUAGGCGGUCUGUCGCGUCGGCUGUGAAAUCCCGAGGCUCAACCUCGGGUCUGCAGUCGAUACGGGCAAACUGGAGUGUUGCAGGGGAGACUGGAAUUCCUGGUGUAGCGGUGAAAUGCGCAGAUAUCAGGAGGAACACCGGUGGCGAAGGCGGGUCUCUGGGCAACAACUGACGCUGAGGAGCGAAAGCGUGGGGAGCGAACAGG